AAUUAUCUACUCUACCAUCUGGGUUUUAUCCAAUUUGAAUAACCUCCAGCCAGUCAUCGCUUUCUUCCCCAACAUGUCACUCAAUCACAUCCUCUGCAAACACCGGUAUUUGUAAGUUCUCUUCUUCUACCGUUUUCUUUUCUGAAUCUACUCCACUUGGACCUCCCUCUUCCAAUCUCCACCUCUGAUUCCUCGGUCCAGCGCUAAAAAAGAACAAUUUAAUUUUAAAACGCCAAACUUCCAUCCCAUUGCGCAGCCACAAGAACAUAACCCGCCACAACGAAUGCGUCGGUUAUCUCCAUCGCCAUCCACUGGCUAUGGCCUAGGGUUUUCUAAUAGCAAAAGUAGACAAAGCAUCGAAUCAGGUAAAACCAACUUCAAUGAUCCUUUUUCAAAAUCGGAAUCCUCGAGUUCUUUUAUCUUUCGUUCAGUUGCCACAAAGGAGGCCGAUAGUGCCAAUGGAUAGAACUCUACUGCAAGAAAUUCAGCUGUAUCCAUGGAUCCUUUUCCAAAAUCGGAAUCCUUGAGUUCUUUUAGCUUUCCAGUUGAAAAGGGAAUAUGAUCGCUUGCUUCAUAUUGCCAUUUGAAAGAGAGUCUCACUACGCACCCCAACUGCUCGAUGAAAUGCUUGAACCAAGAUGCCUAGAAAAGAUCAGUUUUUUUCUUCUGGAAAUAUGAAAAAAAGGUAAUUUCCAUUUAGAGAGAUUGGGCGUUCCCUCUUAACCAGACUUUUUUUUUUGGUGUGACUUAUAAUUUGAGUUGGGGCAGGAUCAUAGCUGGAAAUUUGAAGAUUAAGCUCAAACUUUUCAGUAGGAAAAGAGAAUAGUGAAACUGGAUUGACAGAAGUUUAAAUAUGCUUGAGAGGCAGGGGUAUAACUGGAAAGUUGAAGGUCGGUAGAUGGUUAAAGAGUUUUAGAGGUAGGGGCAUAAUUGGGAAGUUGAAGGCAUGGAUUAAUCAGUAGGCGUCUUCUAAUCGAAUAUUAAUAGGGACAUAGUCGGGAUUUUUGCAACACAGCUUAACAAAUGGGUUUAGGUUGUACAGGUGUGGGCAGACGGGUCACAUGAGUAGGGAUUGCCCCAGGAGUGCAUUGAUUUGUUUUCACUACAACCUGACAAGCCAUAAAAAAUGUCGAUUGUUCGAGCUUGUCAGGAGGGCCGGUGGCAGUGCCUGCAUCAACCACCUUGAGGAUUACCGAUGGCUACCAGGGCAAGGCGAAGACACUUGUCGUGUAGUGCAGGGCUUUCCAGCUGACUACCGAUGAGGCUCGUGCAGCACCGGAUGUGGUUACCGGUAUGUAUUUUUUGUUAUAUCUUAUUUGCUUUCCUUAUUUAUGCUUAUAAUUAUAUCUAGUCCCAUAUAAGGACUUUCUUAGUCAAUGGUGUGACUGCUCAUGUUUUGUUUGAUUCGGGUGCUACUCGAUCCUUUGUAUCUCUUACGCUUAGCAUUAGUGAUGCUCCUCGGAUUUUAGAUUAUCCGUUGGAGGUCGAGAUUGCCGAUAAUCGUUAUGUGAGUGCUUCGAGGGUUCAUCGUGGGUGUGUUCUGAAUCUGUUCAACGAGAGGUACUCUAUUGAUUUGGUGUCAAUCCCUCUGCGAUAGUCGAAGGUUAUUAUUGGGUUGGACAGGUUAGGUUCCAAUGGUGUCGUGACUGACUGUGAGCGCCAACAAGUGAGAGUUCGAACCCCAAGUGGGGGAGAACUUGUUAUUCCUGGUGAGGGAAUUUCUCAUGGGCUGGCUCUCAGUUCAGCUAUGAUGGCCAGGAGAUAUCUUCGCAGGGUUGUUCUGGGUUUCUGGCCUAUGUGGCGGAUACACGGGUUGAGGGCACGACGACAUUGAGUGAGGUACCCAUUGUUCGGAAUUUCCCUGAUGUGUUUCCUGAGGAGUUGCCAGAAGUGCCUCCCAAGAGGCAAGUCGAGUUUCGUAUUGAUCUAGUGUUUGGUGCAACUCCAAUAGCCAAAGCACCAUAUCGUUUGGCACCACCAGAGAUGCAGGAUUUGUCUGUACAACUUCAGGAGCUUCUAGACAAUGGAUUUAUUCUGUAACGCCCGUGUUUCUGGGCUAGGAAUUAAUGACAAUGUAAUAGUCUAGGUUAACCUUUGUAACUCAUUUUGUUAUAAUAAGAAUGUAUUAUUUGAGUA